rnacentral:rRNA from 1 species
UACGUAGGUGGCAAGCGUUGUCCGGAUUUAUUGGGUUUAAAGGGUGCGUAGGCGGUUCCAUAAGUCAGUGGUGAAAUACAAUAGCUUAACUAUUGAGGUGCCAUUGAUACUGCGGAACUUGAGUACAGACGAGGUAGGCGGAAUUGACGGUGUAGCGGUGAAAUGCUUAGAUAUCGUCAAGAACACCGAUAGCGAGGGCAGCUUACUAGACUGUAACUGACGCUGAGGCACGAAAGUGUGGGGAUCAAACAGG